rnacentral:rRNA from 1 species
GACGAACGCUGGCGGCGUGCCUAAUACAUGCAAGUCGAACGCUUCUUUCCUCCCGAGUGCUUGCACUCAAUUGGAAAGAGGAGUGGCGGACGGGUGAGUAACACGUGGGUAACCUACCCAUCAGAGGGGGAUAACACUUGGAAACAGGUGCUAAUACCGCAUAACAGUUUAUGCCGCAUGGCAUAAGAGUGAAAGGCGCUUUCGGGUGUCGUUGAUGGAUGGACCCGCGGUGCAUUAGCUAGUUGGUGAGGUAACGGCUCACCAAGGCCACGAUGCAUAGCCGACCUGAGAGGGUGAUCGGCCACACUGGGACUGAGACACGGCCCAGACUCCUACGGGAGGCAGCAGUAGGGAAUUUUCGGCAAUGGACGAAAGUCUGACCGAGCAACGCCGCGUGGGUGAAGAAGGUUUUCGGAUCGUAAAACUCUGUUGUUAGAGAAGAACAAGGACGUUAGUAACUGAACGUCCCCUGACGGUAUCUAACCAGAAAGCCACGGCUAACUACGUG